rnacentral:rRNA from 1 species
CGGUAAAAGCUCAAAUUUGAAAUCUGGCUCUUUUAGAGUCCGAAUUGUAAUUUGUAGAAGAUGCUUCGGGUGUGGUUCCGGUCUAAGUUCCUUGGAACAGGACAUCGCAGAGGGUGAGAAUCCCGUACGUGGGCGCCUGCCUUUGCCGUGUAAAGCUCCUUCGAC